rnacentral:rRNA from 1 species
GAUGAACGCUGGCGGCGUGCUUAACACAUGCAAGUCGAACGGACUUAGGAUGAAACCUAGUGAUUUCUAAGUUAGUGGCGGACGGGUGAGUAACGCGUGGGCAACCUGCCUAUCACUGGGGAAUAACGCACCGAAAGGUGUGCUAAUACCGCAUGAGACCACAGAGGGACAUCCCACAGGGGUCAAAGAUUCAUCGGUGAUAGAUGGGCUCGCGUCUGAUUAGCUAGUUGGUGAGGUAACGGCCCACCAAGGCGACGAUCAGUAGCCGACCUGAGAGGGUGAUCGGCCACAUUGGAACUGAGAAACGGUCCAAACUCCUACGGGAGGCAGCAGUGGGGAAUAUUGGGCAAUGGGCGCAAGCCUGACCCAGCAACGCCGCGUGAAGGAAGAAGGUUUUCGGAUUGUAAACUUCUGUCCUUGAUGAAAAGCAGUAGAUGGUAAUCAAGGAGGAAGCCCCGGCUAACUACGUG